rnacentral:rRNA from 1 species
GAUGAACGCUGGCGGCGUGCUUAACACAUGCAAGUCGAACGGAAAGGCCGAAGCUUGCUUCGGUACUCGAGUGGCGAACGGGUGAGUAACACGUGGGUGAUCUGCCCUGCACUUUGGGAUAAGCCUGGGAAACUGGGUCUAAUACCAGAUAGGACCACGUCUUGGAUGGUGUGGUGGAAAGUUUUUUCGGUGUGGGAUGAGCUCGCGGCCUAUCAGCUUGUUGGUGGGGUAAUGGCCUACCAAGGCGUCGACGGGUAGCCGGCCUGAGAGGGUGUACGGCCACAUUGGGACUGAGAUACGGCCCAGACUCCUACGGGAGGCGGCAGUGGGGAAUAUUGCACAAUGGGCGCAAGCCUGAUGCAGCGACGCCGCGUGGGGGAUGACGGCCUUCGGGUUGUAAACUCCUUUCGCCAGGGACGAAGCGUCAGUGACGGUACCUGGAUAAGAAGCACCGGCUAACUACGUGCCAGCAGCCGCGGUAAUACGUAGGGUGCGAGCGUUGUCCGGAAUUACUGGGCGUAAAGAGCUCGUAGGUGGUUUGUCGCGUCGUUUGUGUAAUACCGCAGCUUAACUGCGGGGUUGCAGGCGAUACGGGCAUAACUUGAGUGCUGUAGGGGAGACUGGAAUUCCUGGUGUAGCGGUGGAAUGCGCAGAUAUCAGGAGGAACACCGAUGGCGAAGGCAGGUCUCUGGGCAGUAACUGACGCUGAGGAGCGAAAGCAUGGGUAGCGAACA